rnacentral:tRNA from 1 species
GCAUUCGUGGUGUAAUGGUUAACAUACUCGGCGCGUAUUCGAAAGGUCUAGGUUCGAGUCCCGGCGAGAGCA